AGUGAACGCUGGCGGUAGGCCUAACACAUGCAAGUCGAACGGCAGCACAGUAAGAGCUUGCUCUUACGGGUGGCGAGUGGCGGACGGGUGAGGAAUACAUCGGAAUCUACUUUUUCGUGGGGGAUAACGUAGGGAAACUUACGCUAAUACCGCAUACGACCUACGGGUGAAAGCAGGGGAUCUUCUGACCUUGCGCGAUUGAAUGAGCCGAUGUCGGAUUAGCUAGUUGGCGGGGUAAAGGCCCACCAAGGCGACGAUCCGUAGCUGGUCUGAGAGGAUGAUCAGCCACACUGGAACUGAGACACGGACCAGACUCCUACGGGAGGCAGCAGUGGGGAAUAUUGGACAAUGGGCGCAAGCAUGAUCCAGCCAUACCGCGUGGGUGAAGAAGGCCUUCGGGUUGUAAAGCCCUUUUGUUGGGAAAGAAAAGCAGCAGGUUAAUACCCCGCUGUUCUGACGGUACCCAAAGAAUAAGCACCGGCUAACUUCGUG
rnacentral:rRNA from 1 species